rnacentral:rRNA from 1 species
KUACCCGCUKGAACUUAAGCAUAUCAAUAAGCGGAGGAAAAGAAACUAACAAGGAUUCCCCUAGUAACUGCGAGUGAAGCGGGAAAAGCUCAAAUUUAAAAUCUGUUGGUCUUUGGCCAUCCGAGUUGUAAUUUAGAGAAGCGUUUUCCGCGCUGGACCGUGCACAAGUCUCCUGGAAUGGAGCGUCAUAGAGGGUGAGAAUCCCGUCUUUGGCACGGACGCACCAGGGCUUUUGUGAUGCGCUCUCGAAGAGUCGAGUUGUUUGGGAAUGCAGCUCAAAAUGGGUGGUGAACUCCAUCUAAAGCUAAAUAUUGGCGAGAGACCGAUAGCGAACAAGUACCGUGAGGGAAAGAUGAAAAGCACUUUGGAAAGAGAGUGAAACAGUACGUGAAAUUGUUGAAAGGGAAACGCUUGAAGUCAGUCGCGUCGGCCGAGACUCAGCCUUGCCUUGUACCCGUGUAAUUUUMGGCUGWCGGGUCAGCGUCAAAUUUGCCCCUUCAAUAAUUCCGAGGGAAAUGUGACACCUUUAUGGUGUGUUAUAGUCCCUUGUAUCAUKCAAGGGUUGGGAUGAGGAACUCAGCACGCACAGCUUGGUGUCACGCCGUGCCCUCACAUACGUGCGUAGGAUGUGGAC